UAGCCGACUUCAUUGCCUGGGAAUAUGGCGGCGCGCCGGCUCAAUCGCUGAUGAAUGUUUCAAUUAAAGAAAGCCAAAGGGCUAAAAGGGAGCCAGCUGGCGAUGGAGGUGCAGUGGAAGCAAGUGUUGCUGAUUUGAGUGGCAGGUGCUGAUCCAUGCAGCCUUUGAGGAAAGCUUUUCCUUUUGGAUGGAGCCUGCCUUGAGCUGCAUUCAUGCAACAUGCACUACGCACUGUCAUGGAAUUGUUUGGCUUUCCUUGGUGGCGCUGAACAAAGUGUUCCAGUGUGCAGUGGGAGCAGCGAAUGCAGACAUGGUGUCUGUACAGGGAGUUCCUGUCCCUGGCCCAAACCCACAGACCCUCAGCAGAGAAGGACAAGGUCAAACACGGCCUCCACUUUCACUUCACAACUUGUCAUCCUUAAGAGGAGCGAAAUGCCGUCGGCGGGGAAGCUUCUCCUGUUCAGGCUUGUCGGGCGAGCACAAUAGCCUUGCUCUGAAUAACGUGGCCGCGAGCUAGUUUAUUCAAGCGCCUUUUGUUUGUGCUCCGCGCUCACCUUUUCCCUUCACUGAUGAUCAGAUAAGCAGCAGCAGCAGACAAGAGGGCAGAGAAAGCCAAACUAUCUGCUGAGAUGGCCUUUCCGUCAUUUCACGGAGAUUUCGCAACGUGGGGCUUGCGCAUCCUUCGAAGGAAUACAAGAAAAUUCCUCAGAGGUGAAAAUAUGAAUGCCAAAUACGGUUGGGAUGGCACACUAAAGUAGUCACCGGGCUUUUUUUCCCAAGCUACUCCAGUAUUCAGUUUCUCUAUUUACCCAUUAGGCUAAGCGGGGGUCACGCAGUGGACGUGUGAGUUGCGCAACAGCUGCCCUUUUGAUGCCACUACCUUCCACCCAACGUGGGUGCAAAAGUCAUCCUAAGAUGAAAAAUAGCACAAGCGUUAAAUGUCGAUGCGGAGGAAUAAAGCGUCGUCGCCAGCGGCUCGGACUCAGUCCGCCAUGCAGUUCUCCAAACAAAUAAAACCUCACAGGUGCAUUUAACACACCAAUACUCUUAAUGGAUCAAGCUGCUUCUUUGCAUGGCCCUAUUGAGACCUUUAGAUAAACUCAAAAUGGCCUGUGAUAAAAUUAAAACCAGGGCUGCUUUAAACACUUAGAAAUAAUAAGCAAUCAAAACAUAACAGCUCGGCUGCUUCAGUUUUAGUAAG